AAUCUUUAAAUCGUAAAAAUUUUAAGGAAAAUUAAAUCGCCAUCAAAAUAUUAACAAUAUGGUAUAAAGACUUUUUUAAACAUGAACUAUCAGAAAAAUGCAAAAGUCCUUUGAUGUAGCGGCCAAAGCUUUUUAGUUUAAAUGCAUGAUAGUACAAUCAUCAGUACAUCUUUAACUCAGAAUUCAGGAGAAACAAAUAUUGUACCUCAUAUACUAACAAAAUGAUAGUAUGAUACUUUUAUUAUAAUCGGAUUAAACGAAAUUAGCACUCAGCAACUUCAUUUGAUUUACGUGGAGAACUUUUGGCCUGUUGCAUAGCCAAGGCAAAAAUACGACUGGAAUUUGCAUUUUCAUUUAAUAAUCUUUGAUUCCAAUGUGAGCCUGACUGCUGUAUUAGUGGUAUAUCUUCGUUGCGAAUUACAGAGCCGAUGGACAUGAAAAAGCCAAAAGUGGCCGCAGAUGUUAACAUGUAUUGACCUAAGGUCCUUAAGAAUCCACGUGGACCAGGCCCAUAGCGCAAAACUGCUACUCCUCCAAAUAAAAACCCGAUGCCAAGUCCAGCAGCUGAACCCAUAAUGGCGCCCAUUUUUACUGUUCAGUGUUAAUGACUGAAUUCAUACAAUAUAGAACUUACGCUUAUCCACAGUUGAAGGUUGCAUAGAUUGCAUUUUGAGUAGUUAA